rnacentral:lncRNA from 1 species
UUGCUCCUGGCAGUCUCUAGCUCCUAUUUGAAGGGGACUUGCAUACAUCAAACCCUUGUUUUCAAAUCCACGUGAAUCCAGGCAUUUCUGGAAUCCAUUUGAGUCUGUUGCAAGAAUUUCACAUUCCCAAGCCCAUCAUCCAUCAGUCUCUCUCCCUCUGUCUGAUACAGAAAAUCAAGUCAGGCAACUCCUAGGAGACAGACUUACUGGGAAGAGGCCAAUGGGAUGGCAGAAAGAGCAUGAAGACCCUGGACUUCAGAUACCUCUGCUGUGAGGAAGGAACAUCCACUGACGACUUGUGGAAAUGCCAUAGAGGAUACCUAGUACACGUCAGGGGAACAAAAGCGGCAAGUCUUCACCAAUUAGCCUGGUGA